AAGCACUGUUAAAAUAUGUAAAUUGAUCCAGGGAAGAACGCUCGACUCACACGUAGUCUUUCAUAUCUCGAUGUUGUCCAUUACAAAGUGCAUCUCCUUUCCACUUUUUCAUGUCAUCUUGUCUUUAUUGGCAGCUUGUGUGCUGCUCUCUGUUGAUGAGAUGGUGCUGGCCCGUCCUGCACUCUCCAGCUGAGAUCCAGAAGAGGAUGUGAUGUGACGGACCACCAAAGGUAAGAUGAUUCUUCAACUGAUCAGCAUACAACGCCAUUUUCAGUAUUACUGCACUGCUUUAAGCUUGGACAUCAAAUAAAUGCAUAUGGCCUGUAACCACCAUAGACUGUUAAGAUGAUGUGUGCCCCAAUAUUGUCUGCUGAUCAGUAAGGGUUCUUCAAUAACAAACAUUAAUGCCAUCAGAAAAAAAAUAAUAAUAAUUUUAUAUAUAUAUAUAUAUAUAUAUAUAGAGAGAGAGAGAGAGAGAGAGAGAGAUAGAGAGAUAGAGAGAUAGAUAGAGAGAUAGAUAGAUAGAUAGAUAGAUAGAUAGAUAGAGAGAGAGGCUAUAGUUAUUGUUACAUUCAUACAUAUUAAAUCAGUGAUCCUCAAAUCUGGCUCGCGAGAUCCACUUUCCUGCGAAGUUUAGCUCUAACCCUAAUCAAACACACAUGAGUUUGCUAAUCAGUGUCUUCAGAAUCAUUAGAAAAUCACAGGCAGGUGUGUUUAAUUAGAGUCGGAGCUAAACUCUGCAGGAAACUGGAUCUCGUGAGCCAGAUUUGAGGAUCACUGUAUUAAAUUGUCAUAAAAAUAGAAAUCUGAUCAUUUAACCUUUGACGACAAGGCAAGGUUAACCAAGGUUGUAAAAUCUCAUGUGGGCCAAUUCAGGCAGCGGCUCUCAGGGCUCUGUCAGGAGGCCUGCUACUCUUCCCACAACUCCCAGAAGUCCACACAGUUACGGACAACGGAUGAAGUGCAGCGGUGGCGGUGGGAAAUGUAGUCUGCUGCUCGACGGUUUGACGGUACGUGACUAAUUAGGUCAGUUUCUUUGGCAGCUGCAGGUGAGAGGUGCUCGCUCGCGUUUGCUUGGUGUUGAACACCUCUGGGACGGUGGAGCUUCAGAGCCGUGGGUUUUUAUGGAUUGCUGGGGUGAUGGGAGUUUUAGGCUGUGAUGCGAGGCCCAUGUGUAUUUAUAUUAAAAUGCUCUGCUUCAAAGAAGUACCACAACAACCAUGAUGAGAUGAUAUUAAGAGAGUCAUAGAACCGGUGUUCAUACCAUUCAAACUACUUGUCAACUGAUACAGAGUUCAGGAUUUCUUGAAUAUUUAACGAAUGUACAUGAGAUACAUUAGUGCAAAUUACUACUAACAGUUGCUUAAAUGUGUGUGUGUGUUUCAUAUAUAUAUGGAAAGUAAUUAAUACUUUCAUUCAGGAACAAUGAAUUAAAUUGAUCAAAAGGAACAUUAAACACUUCUACAUUGGUUAAAAACAUUAAAUUCGUCAAAGAAUCCUGAAUAAAACGUUUCCACAAAAAUAUUGAGCAGCACAAUGGAUUUCAACAUUGAUAAUAAUAAUAAUAAUAAUAAUAAUGUGUUUCUUGAGCAUCAAAUCAGCAUAUUACAAUGAUUUCUGAAGGAUCAUGUGACGCUGAUGCUGUAAUGAUGCUGAAAAUUCUAAUUCUUUUUUUUUUUUUUAUAUUCAAAUUAGGAAACCCUUAUUUUAAAUUGAUAUUUCACAAAUCUUACUGUACUUCACAUAUGAUUUAACUGUUUUGAUCAAACAAACUGAAAAAAAGUUACAAAAUGUAAGCAGUAGUGUAACU
ensembl:lncRNA